UAUUGCGCAAUGGGGGCAACCCUGACGCAGCAACGCCGCGUGAUUGAUGAAGGCCUUCGGGUUGUAAAGAUCUUUAAUCGGGGACGAAUUUUGACGGUACCCGAAGAAUAAGCUCCGGCUAACUACGUGCCAGCAGCCGCGGUAAUACGUAGGGAGCAAGCGUUAUCCGGAUUUACUGGGUGUAAAGGGCGUGUAGGCGGGCAUGCAAGCCAGAAGUGAAAUCUGGGGGCUUAACCCCCAAACUGCUUUUGGAACUGCGUGUCUUGAGUGAUGGAGAGGCAGGCGGAAUUCCCAGUGUAGCGGUGAAAUGCGUAGAUAUUGGGAGGAACACCAGUGGCGAAGGCGGCCUGCUGGACAUUAACUGACGCUGAGGCGCGAAAGCGUGGGGAGCAAACAGGA
rnacentral:rRNA from 1 species